rnacentral:lncRNA from 1 species
GCAUUUAACUUGUGUUUACUUUUGAAUAAAAGACCUCAGGAGUCUGGCCGGGUUCUAGCUCAGUUAAUAAUUCUCAUCGUUCCAGAUAUUUCCCAGCACUGCCCUGUGAACUUCUUACCCGGGGCUGCCUUGCGGAAGGGCCACGUGUGACUUGACAGCCCUCCCUGUGGACAUGGACACUGGUCGGAGCCCGUUUUUGCUGUUCACCAUGAAUUCUGAAAACAACCUGAAUAAUGAGGAUGUGCAGAAAUCCCACCACGGGGCACACGGCUCUCCGCACCUCCGGCUGCCGUCCUGCGGCCUUCAUGCUCAGCAGCUGAGCCGUGACACAAGAGACCGAAGAAACCAGCUUCUCGGCUCACAGAAGAUAAACUGAUACCUUAGGAGCACCUCGUCCCAUUAGAGCACACCGAAUUGUUUUCAUCUAAUCUCACCCCAGCCGCCUGUGGAGUACAUCAGUUCUCUGCCAGUCUGCUCUUUAAACAGAGAGCUAUUUACCGGAUUGCCAGACCGGAGAACUCUGCCACCGCCAACUUCAAGCCACAGAGCGCCGUGCGACAGGGCAGGGCCUUCUGCUCUCCCAGUAAGGGGCUUCGCCCCCACCUCUGCACAGGGCAGGGGGCUUGGGGAGUGCAUAGCUCUUGCAGUGGGAAGCCUCCCGCCCGCCUCCCUGGGAUACACAGCUGCCUGCAGCAGGUGAUGGUGAGGACGCCCGUCGUCCAGGAGUCCGCUUCCCUCCUCACCUUCAGUUGGAACUGCAAAAGCAAGCUGGUCUCAGCGCUGCAGCCUGGCAAAGGAGCGUCAUUCAGUAGACAGAAGGCCAGCAGGGGAGCUGUACACCAGACGUCACAAGUGUGGCCCCACCUCUACACCUCAAGGCCGUGAGGCUGACCAGACGGGCCAGCUUCGGACCUGGGGCCAAAGGUGAGGCGCGGCCGGAGGCGAGUGUCACCCGCUGCUGCGGCUAUGCCAGCGCUUCACUCUCUUCUGUCUUCAGGUGGAUGUUCACUUGCCUGCCUUCUGCUGUCACCCCCUCUCCUCCAUAUGAUAAGGGAUGCAUUUAUUUGUGUUUUCCUUUGUAGUUUUCGGAUCCCUGUAAAUACGAGUCAUGUAAUGUCUUACAUUUUCUUUCAGACACAUUUCUUUCUUAUUUCACCCUAUCCCUUAUAUGUGAUUACAUUAAAGUAAGUUUUGCUUAUUGUUUCAUAUUCUAGCCACUUGAUAAUUUUUCUGGCUCCAAGGUUUGCAAUCAAGGAAGAUGUUUCUCAGCCUUUCAUUGCAGGCCUCUCGGCGAAAAGACAAAAGUUUUUCCUCCUAAGAAUCUGAGGCCCUCUCUGGAGGAGUGGGCUCUUCCUUUUGUUUCACAAAAUAAGCAAAGAGAAAAGGAACCAGGUAAUUUUCUUUAAUGAAUAGCAAGAUGAACUGAGGUUUGUAUCUGUGUUUCUGCAUUGUUAUUUUAUGAUAUUUCCCCCAUAGUAAGUAUACCGCUUCAAAGUCAAAACAUAAACUACACAUUGAAACAUGUUUUUCUUUUGAAGACAGAUGUUUGGGCAGGAAUGAAUUUCCUCAUUUCUCUAUGGAGAAAACAGAUACCUGGGCUCUUCCUUGGGUGCUCUAAGGACUUACCCAGGCAGACUGAAAAGGCAUGCAUGCAGGCACAGGUGGCAUAGGGGGCAUCCGUGGCCUGUGGGAGAUCACCCUCCAGCCACAGGUGAGACAAGGAGCCGAGACCACACAAACUCUAGCAUGAGGUGCUGCUGGAGGCUGCUCCUCCAGAAGGGCUGGGGUCCCCGCUCCUUCUUCAGCUGAGCUCGCCUCUUGUCCCUGAUGCUACCUGGUGGGAUUCCCAGGAGCAUUUCCAGAAGAGCCUGCCUGGGCCUGGGAGUCAGCAGGUGGACUCAGCGUGUCCCUGUGCAUGAUGGGUGGAGCUGACCUAUCAACUGUCACCCUCACCCGGGCAUCCAUGUGACAAAGGCACUCUGCACGAGCUGGAACUGUCUGGUGAACCAGGCCAGUAAACUGCUGGACCGAUCAAAGUUCAAAGAGCACAUAGCUGCAUCGGGCCCCAUGAAGAGUCUCUGUGGAUUCGCAGCAAAGAUCUUGGGUGAAUCCAGUCCACAGCAGCAGACUCGUAGAGUCGCCUGAAACACGGUGCAGGUGGCAGGCACAGUGGUGCAAGGUUCUGGCUCCAAACACAGUGCACAUCUCAUCUUGACAAGCAGUGAGCUCUUGGUGGAAAGCACUCUGAGCACAAGCAAAAAGGGCACAGACACACGCAUGCCACACAACGCCCACUGCACUUAUAGUACAGCACAUACGCACAUGCACAUGCACACAUGCACACACAGCAGCAACCUGAAUGAGGGAGUCAGGUCAUCACAGCCAGGAGGUAGAGCCGUGUCACUCAGAAUGGAAUGAAAGAAAGGUGCACGAGGUUACUGACAGUAGGAAGCUGACUUGGCACAGAGGAGCGUGCCAGUGCGGGCAGGGCACUCGCUUCUGAGCUGAUGUACAGAGGCUCCGGGGCACCUAUGCCGAGCGCUCGGGCGGCAGUCAGAGUGACAGGAACAAGGACACUGCUGGGCAGGAACUGCCUUCCUCCUCGCUCAGGCGGGAGCCCUGCUGCGUGCAGCAGGUGCAUUUUCCUGAACUCUCAGAUGAUCUCGGAGAACCAAGUGCCACUGACUUUGCUGCGAUGACAAGCGUACCCGAAGCGGCAAACUUACUUCCUAUGAGCGUGAGUCCCUCAGACACUAGACAGCCAGGACUUGCAUCUCAUCUGCCACACCCACAGAGAUGGCAAGGACUGCUUGGGAGGAGUGUACUGCGAGGCUCGGGAGCUGUGUCUGGACCAGCAAGAAACAGUGCUUAAUCGGUGAGCGGGGUCGCCACAGCCUAGGAGUGGAGAAGAGGCGAUGCUCGUGUGGUCUCCUGGGGUGAGGUCUGGACCAAGGUCUCCAAGGUCAAGGGGCGAGGGGGAGACGCGAGCCCAGGAGCCUGGGGGGAAGUGAGGCCACCGCCCCGAGCAUCUACCUCCUCACUUCCGUGUGAAGGGGGCGCUGUGGGGCAGCCCCCAAGGCUCUCCUCAGCCCUGAGCUCAUUUCAUCGCCCCUCAUGUUUGUACAGCACUGUUUCAACUGAAAAAGCUUUAUACACAGAAGUGACUAAAAAAUACAGUGAGGGCUUCAAGUAACAGACUUCUAACAAAGAAAGCAAGUUGCACCAUGACAGAAUAAGUGUGCUGAAGCGAGGGGAUGAUGUAGUGUCUGAGAGGGAUUAACGGCCAUGAGCCUUUCACUGUAACACAUUUUAAUUUAAAUAUGGAACAAACAUUCAUGGAAAUUUCUGCCAAAUAAAAACAUGGUGCUGUGUCCUCACCCACAGUACUCACUGGAUCCAGCACCAGGUGACUUCUGUCUCUUCCCCAAAGUCGCAGUGACCACAAAAGGGAAAGGAUUUGAAUUAAUUCAGGACAUCAGGGGAGCCUGAGCCAUUGAGGCAACUAAAGACACUCGGGAAAGAGGGCUGCACAGCUGCUGCAGAAAGUGGUGAGGAUGACAGGAUGGCUGUGUGUGAAGCCGGGGGAGGCUGGGCAGGGAUUCGUGGCCAUGGGUCUCUUACUGAGAAGCAUUUUUAAAAUUUCACCAGCCACCAUAUUUUGUGGUCACACUUCAUGCAUUCAUCUCUUGGGUCAUUAUUAAGACCUGUAGAUAAAGACCCUAAACUCCAGGCUGGCCAAGGAGACAGGCAAUGGAGCUGCGAUCCCAACACACAGGUGGGCACCCCAGAUCUGCCUCAUCCACUGCCCUACUGCAGUGUCUGCCGAGCUGGUGCACUGCGGUGGAGCCCUGUGGGGCUCCUUUCAGUGAGGAGGUCCUGGCCCAGCCAGAGGUGAGGGAAGCAGUAGAUGCUGCUGUUCUUUAGGCCUCUGUCCUGCCUGGGCUCGUGGGAACAAAUGAGCUGAGCACUAAGCCUCAGAGGAGGCAGCUCUGCUUCCGGCUUUGC